AAGUCUACCCACAACAAAAACAAGAGAAAAAAUUUUUCAAAACAAUGAGAUUUCUUCUGCUACCAAGUUGCAGUUACUGUUCAACCGUUGCUGCAGUAAUUAUAAGAUAAUUGAAACAUUCCCUAUUGUUGACAACGAUGUUUGUGUUCUAUAUUUAAACCGUCGAAGCGUUGUUACAUAAACUAAGCGAGGGUGAAGAAAUCGGUCCUUAGAGACCAGCACAUGAACUCUAUCGUAUCAGAGCCCGCACCGGAGUUAUUUCCAGUGUACGACAGCUUGUUGACGCCGAUUGCUAGUGUAAAAUGCUUCCAAAAUUGCUCGGGUUACGUGUUGCGUCCCGUACAUAAUCGAUUCGUCCCGGGCAUUCGGCAUCUCCAGUGAAAGUGGUACUAAGUGACUUUGUGGAAAGUAGACUGCGUAAUUAGCAAGAGCUGUGGAUGUCAUUUUUCUUUGUUAUUGUGGAAAUAACUUUGAAAACCAACCGUCGAGGAUGUUUACGAUACCUUCGAGUAUUGCUCGUAAGAUGAAAGUAAGCGUGAUGGAACUGACAUCAAUUUCUACCAUAAACGUCUACCGUGGAGGCUAGCGGACACAAAAUUCUUCUAAGAAUUUCUAUGAUGCGAUGAAGGAUUGAACAGUUGGAUUAAUGAGCAUUACGAGCGGGUUUCAAAAUACGUCAAAGCCAGAUGAUAGAUACACCCUGUUCUGAUUUUGCCCACGUAUAUAGAGGAUUCCUAAUCCAUGAGAAGUAUAGUCAAGAUGCGGAUGAAUAGGUACAGAUUCUAUUGGUAUACCUGUCAAAAUGCAGUGAAAUGCAAAACUGGAAGAAAGUUGUUCACAGGUGUGAAUGUCCCUAUUAGAUUGCAACAAAUGUAGUUGAGGAAAGAAUGCAUUGUCACGCGAAAUUUCACUAUGAAACAGCACUUCACUACUGAGCUGGCAAAUUCAUACGGAAUGCCUUCCGGUUCCGUUUUUGUCGACGCUUAUUGCUGUCAGCCACUUUGCGCUGAAUCCGAACAUUUCCUAGAAAUCCUUGUAUUAGAGUGUUAAAGAUAUAAUCAAUAAGUCUAUCAAAGCAUGACCGGCAUGCUGCAAAAUCGAAAGCAUUAUAAUCGAUAUAGGCCUUCAAGCGUUUCUUGACACCUCUUCUGUUUUCAAAAAGAAAUUUCCGAAACUUCAGUUUGAAGCUCCAAAAGGCCUGUAGACCAACAGCAUAUAAAGUGUUAUUCGGAAUGUUAACCGAACGUGCGGAAAUUGAAGAUUUCAAUAAAGUGAACAAAUAAUCUUCGUUUUCUAGGAUCUCGUCAUCCUGCAGGGCUAUCAAUUUCUCUCGACACUUUCUAUGACGAAGUUUUCGCACAGCGGCUCCAAGAACGUAAACUAAAGCAUUAAUUUCCUUAGUUUGAACCA